GUGUCAGCAGCCGCGGUAAUACGAAGGGUGCAAGCGUUAAUCGGAAUUACUGGGCGUAAAGGGUGCGUAGACGGUUUGUUAAGUCGGAUGUGAAAGCCCCGGGCUCAACCUGGGAACUGCAUCCGAAACUGGCAGGCUAGAGUGCGAUAGAGGAUGGUGGAAUUCCCGGUGUAGCGGUGAAAUGCGUAGAGAUCGGGAGGAACAUCUGUGGCGAAGGCGGCCAUCUGGAUCAGCACUGACGUUGAGGCACGAAAGCGUGGGGAGCAAACAGGAUUAGAAACCCGCGUAGUCC
rnacentral:rRNA from 1 species